CACUAUUUAUAUUUAGAAUAUUCAAUCUUCAAUCAAUUUGACCAUAUAAGUGAUUUAUGAACGUGAUCUCCAUUCUCUAAAGAGAAAACUUCAUUGUAUAUUUAAUAGAUUAUCCAUCUGUCACUGUCAGUUAUACAUUUGAACGCAUAAUAAUACGCCAAAUUGUCAAAGUGAAAAUGAAAAUGAUGGUUAAAGACUUAAUGGAGGAUCGCAGAGUGAUGAUUAAUAAAUGAUGAACAUGAAACUACAGGAGGACGACGGAUGAGGUUACAACAUGAGAGGGUCGAAGAGGUGACAAGGUCAAAGGUGAGAAGGGUCACUACCAGAUGAGGUCACAGAGUAAUGGAUGUGUGGGUGGGAGGUGUUAAAGUGCUGCUUCCUGUGGUGGUGAUGGUGAUGGGGGGAUUGGGGGGGGGGGGGGUCUUACGCUGCUGGACAGCUUGCUGGUGCUCAGGUUGUGCUGCAUGGACAGAGACUCGGCCAUGUCGGUCACCGGCUUGUGGAGCUUCUUCAGGUCUCCCUUGUACUUGACCUGCGAGGACGCAUGGAUGUCAGGUUUGAGGAUCCGAGACAGGAAGUCGUCGCGCUCCGAGGCGCUUCUUCGCUCACCUCACUCGCCAGCACGUUGGCAUCCUUCAGCGUCUGGUAAUCUUACUGUUCUUCAGGUCAUACUGGGGCUUCCUUCCUUUCAUCUCCUUGUCAAACUUCUCCUUGUACUUCACCUGUUAGGGGGACAGCGUUAGCUCGGUUAGCUUAGCAGAAGUGGAGACAGAAACCAUCGAGAUGUUGGGAGAACAAAAUGCUUUUAUUCAGAUUGUAUAAAAAGGGACGUCUUCCUUUUCAUGUUGCAUGAUGUACGACUUUAAAUACAACGUCUCAGAUGAAGUCUGCGUCCCUUGUUAUACUUUUCUAAUCAUGCGUCAGUUCGUGUGAUGGAAAGCGGUCUGGUCCUGGUGGAGACCUUCGCCACCAGGAAGCUGCUCACGAGACCGAGCCUCCGUGCAAAGAGUCAACGGACUCCAUAUACAGAUAUAGAUAUAUAGAUAUCUAUAUCUAUAUCUAUACAUGGAUAUAAGAGCGUAUAUGAGGCAGAGGUCGGGCGGUACAAUCGUGUUUCAGGAGCCUGGACGAAGACAAAAGAGAAAUCCUGAAUCCAACCCACUAAAAACAAGUGAAUCCAGCUGCCGUGUUAUUUCAUCUGUUGAUUUACACGUCAGAAAGCUGACUGUUCGGAUUAGAAAGGAAGAAACCACAAAGCCGACCACCAGAUCAACACGUGUGUUUUGUACAGAUUUCCGGAGACAUGCGAACGAAGGUCGAAGCGGCCGUGUGAGGGAACGCGGCAUGCUGCUCUGCUCUCUGGGGGACGUUCUAGUCUUCGUUGACUCAUGUUUCUGUUGUUUCUGUUGCGUCACAAGUGGAACACUGCUGUGUUUCAUUGUUGCAUAACUUACGUUAAAUAGUCCUUCAGUACAAACGUAGUGUAAAUGCAACAAUGAGCCACAGUCUGUGAGGGGAAGCAAAGAGCAGAGGUUGCACACGAUGCUGAACUGCAGAAGAGCAAACGGUAUCCCACGGUUACGGACGAGGAGGACACAGAGAGACAGAGCAGAAGCGUGAAGGGCCUCAACCUCCUUACGUCACUAGUCAUCGCACUCAUUUUCUUAAUGUGGCGCAUCUGGGGGGUCCCGGAUCAACGGUGGUCUGACUGUCAGAACCAGACAGUAGAUCUCCGCCGACUCCGGACAUCUUACAUUCGGUACAUUCGGUUGCCUAGGAGACGGAGGAGCGCCGCGGGUACCUGGCUGGUCAGCUUGGACACCUCGGUGGCCAGAGCGAUGUCGGGCCGGUGCACCAGAGAACCUCCGCGGCCCGCCUCCGCACGGGCCUUCUCACGGUAGCCCACCUGUGAGGAGGCAAGAACCAGACCCAGAAUUAUGCAUCUCCAAAUAAUCACGACCCUUGUGAGGAUCAUUUCGGCAAUAAUCACGCAUUUUCUGAUCAUUGUCAGUAUGAAACAUCUGGCUUCAUAGCUGGUGGACUUUUUAAUUCACACGCCACAUGGACACGUGUAUUCACAGCCAGUUGUGGGAGGCCCACUUUCCUCUAACAGGUGAGAUUACCUCACUGAUGAGCUUGGCGGCCUGAGUGGCUUUCUGGAUGUCGGGGCGGUCCACCACGCUGGUGUAGUGGAGGUUGGCUUUGGCUUCCUUCUUGUAGAUUGACUUGCCCUUCUCCUUCUCAAACUUCGCUUUGUAUAAUUUCUGGAAAGAAGACAAAAAGGACCGUAAAUGAAGGCGAGACCUUCAUCACGUGCGAGACCUUCAUCACGUGAAGGCGAGACCUUCAUCACGUGCGAGACCUUCAUCACGAGAAACCGGGACCAUCAUGACGUGAAGGUGAGGCCUUCACCAUGUGAAAGUAAGACCUUCAUCACGUGAAGGCGAGUCCUUCAUCACGUGCAAGACCUUCAUCAUAAGAAACCGGGACCAUCAUCACGUGAAGGUGAGGCCUUCAUCAUGUGAAAGUAAGACCUUCAUCACGUGAAGGCGAGACCUUCAUCACGUGCGAGACCUUCAUCAUUAGAAACCGGGACCAUCAUCACGUGAAGGCGAGUCCUACCCCGCUGACCAGCUUGUUGAUCUCCUUGCUGUGGACCGUGUCCCGGGUCUCCGACAGGGUCGUGAAGGAACCGGAUUGCAUGUUCUUCUUACUGGCCGCCUUGUACUUGCUCUGAGGAUGG
ensembl:lncRNA